rnacentral:rRNA from 1 species
UACGAAGGGGGCUAGCGUUGCUCGAAAUUACUGGGCGUAAAGCGCACGUAGGCGGCUUCUUAAGUCGGUGGUGAAAUCCUGGAGCUCAACUCCAGAACUGCCUUCGAUACUGGGAAGCUCGAGUCCGGGAGAGGUGAGUGGAACUGCGAGUGUAGAGGUGAAAUUCGUAGAUAUUCGCAAGAACACCAGUGGCGAAGGCGGCUCACUGGCCCGGUACUGAC